UACGGAGGGGGCAAGCGUUAUUCGGAAUUAUUGGGCGUAAAGGGCGCGUAGGCGGCUAGAUGUGUCAAAGGUGAAAUCCCUCGGCUCAACUGAGGAACUGCCUUUGAAACUGUCUGGCUUGAGGCCGGGAGAGGGUAGCGGAAUUCCCAGUGUAGCGGUGAAAUGCGUAGAUAUCGGGAGGAACACCUAUGGCGAAGGCAGCUCGCUGGGACGUUACUGACGCUGAGACGCGAAAGCGUGGGGAGCAAACAGG
rnacentral:rRNA from 1 species